CUUCCACCCUACGUAAUUUCAGUCUAUUUAAACUCCACUUCAUCAUCCCCAAAUCGUUUUUUCUUCAUCUGUUUUCCUACAGCAUAUAACUCCAUUUCCAUCUCUCACUACAGAAUCCAAGCUGGUGUGGCGCGACUAGGAACGUGAACUUUAAUUUCUCGCAGUCAAUUUCAUAAUUCAAAUCACAGGUAACUAAGGUUGGAGACGCGUAGAGGAUCGAAUGGGCGCGUCAAGUAAAUAUUUUUGGAAAAUAUAAUGUUGUAGUUACACCUAACCUUUUGUUUUGUACAGUUUUCGAAGUCUCAAACUACUCUUGAGAUUUUGGUGUAACUUAUCAAGUUUAAUGUUAUCAUAUUAGCUUCCUAGCAUGGCUGGCCUUCUUUUCAAGUUAUUUCAAGUAUUUUAUUUAAAAAGUUAUUUCUUGAAAAUAAU